UUCCGAUCUGCGAAAUUCCUUGUCGGGUAAGUUCCGACCCGCACGAAAGGCGUAACGAUUUGGGCACUGUCUCAACGAGAGACUCGGUGAAAUCAUAGUACCUGUGAAGAUGCAGGUUACCCGCGACAGGACGGAAAGACCCCGUGGAGCUUUACUGUAGCCUGAUAUUGAAAUUCGGCACAGCUUGUACAGGAUAGGUAGGAGCCUUUGAAACGUGAGCGCUAGCUUACGUGGAGGCAUUGGUGGGAUACUACCCUAGCUGUGUUGGCUUUCUAACCCGCACCACUUAUCGUGGUGGGAGACAGUGUCAGGUGGGCAGUUUGACUGGGGCGGUCGCCUCCUAAAAGGUAACGGAGGCGCUCAAAGGUUCCCUCAGAAUGGUUGGAAAUCAUUCAUAGAGUGUAAAGGCAUAAGGGAGCUUGACUGCGAGACUUACAAGUCGAGCAGGGUCGAAAGACGGACUUAGUGAUCCGGUGGUUCCGCAUGGAAGGGCCAUCGCUCAACGGAUAAAAGCUACCCUGGGGAUAACAGGCUUAUCUCCCCCAAGAGUUCACAUCGACGGGGAGGUUUGGCACCUCGAUGUCGGCUCGUCGCAUCCUGGGGCUGUAGUCGGUCCCAAGGGUUGGGCUGUUCGCCCAUUAAAGCGGUACGCGAGCUGGGUUCAGAACGUCGUGAGACAGUUCGGUCCAUAUCCGGUGUAUGCGUAGGAAUAUUGAGAGGAUUUCUCCCUAGUACGAGAGGACCGGGAGGAACGCACCUCUGGUGUACCAGUUAUCGUGCCAACGGUAAACGCUGGGUAGCCAUGUGCGGAGUGGAUAACCGCUGAAAGCAUCUAAGUGGGAAGCCCACCUCAAGAUGAGUAUUCCCAUGGGGUAACCCAGUAAGGUCACGGGAAGAACACCCGUUGAUAGGCUCUACGUCGAAGUUCAGUAAUGGAUGCAGCGGAGGAGUACUAAUAGACCGAGGGCUUGACCCC
rnacentral:rRNA from 1 species